CUACGUAGCUCAGCUGGUUAGAGCACAUCACUCAUAAUGAUGGGGUCACAGGUUCGAAUCCCGUCGUAGCC
rnacentral:tRNA from 33 species